rnacentral:rRNA from 1 species
GACGAACGCUGGCGGCGUGCUUAACACAUGCAAGUCGAACGCUGAAGCUUGGUGCUUGCACUGGGUGGAUGAGUGGCGAACGGGUGAGUAAUACGUGAGUAACCUGCCCUUGACUCUGGGAUAAGCCUGGGAAACUGGGUCUAAUACUGGAUACGACAUGUCACCGCAUGGUGGUGUGUGGAAAGGGUUUUACUGGUUUUGGAUGGGCUCACGGCCUAUCAGCUUGUUGGUGGGGUAAUGGCUCACCAAGGCGACGACGGGUAGCCGGCCUGAGAGGGUGACCGGCCACAAUGGGACUGAGACACGGACCAGACUCCUACGGGAGGCAGCAGUGGGGAAUAUUGCACAAUGGGCGGAAGCCUGAUGCAGCGACGCCGCGUGAGGGAUGACGGCCUUCGGGUUGUAAACCUCUUUCAGCACGGAAGAAGCGAAAGUGACGGUACGUGCAGAAGAAGCGCCGGCUAACUACGUG